rnacentral:rRNA from 1 species
GUGUCAGCAGCCGCGGUAAUACGUAGGGGGCAAGCGUUGUCCGGAAUUAUUGGGCGUAAAGCGCGCGCAGGCGGCUUACUAAGUCUGGUGUGAAAGCCCACGGCUCAACCGUGGAGGGCCAUUGGAAACUGGUAAGCUUGAGUGCAGGAGAGGAGAGCGGAAUUCCUGGUGUAGCGGUGAAAUGCGUAGAUAUCAGGAGGAACACCCGUGGCGAAGGCGGCUCUCUGGCCUGUAACUGACGCUGAGGCGCGAAAGCGUGGGGAGCAAACAGGAUUAGAUACCCUGGUAGUCC